GCAUUGAGUUUUUUUUCCGUACAAAACGCAAUCACCGUCGAACCUUACUCCGAAUCCAGCUCGAACCUGGUUCGAGCGCGAGUGAUGCCGUUUUUCCCAUACAAAACGCAAAACUCAUUUGUUUUUUCAUCGUGCAACAUAUACACGCAUAAUAAGAACCCCCCGUUUAGGCUAAAUAUCAAGUGCAAUCCCCCCCAAAAACUACCAAAAGGCAAUUCAAUUUACGUAAAAGACAAAACAAAAAGAAAAGAAGUGAAAAAACGGCGCGUGUGAAAUUUUUUCAACGAAGAGAAGUUGAAGCAGCCGCAGCACAGCAGAGGAGAAGCAGAGCAACAGCAGCAGCAACAAAAAGAAGAGAAAAAUACAACUACAAAAUUCCCCACACACAAAUGUUUAAUAGAGUUUUCAAGGAAAAUGUGCAACAAGAAGCCGCCGUUAGGGAGCAGGACCAGCAACAACAAUAAAAUUAAGGCUGCUGGACAGGUUUCCCACGGCUAAAGAAAACAACGAGGAAAAGAAGAAGGAGUAGGAGGAAA